rnacentral:lncRNA from 1 species
UCUGGGGUAAUUGUGGCUUGCUUGCUUUACUGCAAAUCGAAGAAAGAUGCAGUACUAGCGCACAAUCGGCAAAAUUUACCUGCUCACAUAGUUUUGCAGAUAAAAAAUAAUUUGGGGAUUGAGUAGCAAGCAGGUGCAGAGAUAGGUGGAAACAAAUCCAGAAAAGCUUUGUGUAUUAACGAUAGAAAUAGCGGGCCAGUUGAUUGCCUGGAUGUGGCACGUAUGGUGGGCUGAACGAACCGAUUCCCAUACAAUCAGCAAACUCCUGCUCAUUACAGUGGCGUCCACAGGAAGACGCCGCGCGCAAAGUGUGUGUACUUUUUUGAUAGAUACACUCCAUCCCACAUACACGUGGCUUGAUUGAGAGAAAUAGUGAAAAUAAAGGGCUGGUAAGAAAAGAAAUCGUGUGGGUUGUAUUUAGUUGGACUAGAAUAUACUACCAACCAAUGUUGAUAUAUUAGCACCGUUAUUCACCCACGUCGACUUUGAGAAGAUAUUUAUAAGAUCCUGAUUUGUUGCAACAGUCGACCAAAUUGCUUUUGGCGAGGUAUAUACGGAGCAGUGUGAUAGGACGAACCAUUCAGCUUUUAUUCUACAAUCAAGUACGAGUUUAGUGUAUUCUUUAGUAUUCAGUUUUCUUCAAAUCGACGUAACUCGGAUGGACAAAGAUUACAAAGGUAAAAUAUACAUUGGAAAAUACAUGGACAGUACUUUAUUUUAAGGGGGAAGUAGUGUUAACAGCACACUUCUGCCGUUUGGCUACAUUUCUACCACUGGUAUACGGUUUAACAUAUUCAAUAUCAAGUUUAUAGGGGAAUACUACGAUUGGAAGCGGAACACUCGCUAUUGACUUUGCCGAUAUUUUGACGGAGUGGAGACAGGAGUUCAACUACGUGCCUAAUACAAACUUUCGCUCAGAUUUUGAACCGAGACUUCUCUUAGACACUGGAUGAAAGUUUUAACGGAGAUGAAUCGGGGCGUUCCCUCGCAGAUUCCGCGGGUGCUGCUUGCAAUCUCACUGGUGCUCCUCGUGUGCCUACCCGAAAUCAGCCACGCAGAUAGGGCGUGUUGCAAGCGGACAGUGGGCUGCAACCUCAGAAGCGAUUGUACAUGUCGGAUCCGUGAGAUUACGUGCACAGACCCGUCUCUUGGCCUACAAAAUUAUGGUAAAAGAUCACCAGCCAGGUCACCAACAUACUACGAUUCAUAUACACCGAUUCUAGAGAGGAUAGCGGAGUUGGCAUCACUGCAACAAGAUGAUAGGUGGAAAAGGAAACGAUCGUCUUCUUCAAGUAGUCGGUACCCUUUUUAUGAUUACAAUAUGAGGCCAUUUUGACACUGGUAUAUGCUUUUCUUUUCAUUUAAUUUUUUUCUGUGUCGCUUUAUACAUAAGAAAGAAAUGUAAACUAGAAUUGAGAUACUAUUUUCUGAUUGAACACUUAUUAGAAAAAUAUGAUCUUAUGUGCCAGGCCAUAUUCUAGCAUUGUAUAAUGACGACGAUUGAAGCGAUCGGAAUGUUGCUAUAUUGGCAGUUCCAAAGAUCUGUUGAAUAGUAAUAAGAGAUCUUGUUAAAGAUCCAAAUGUCUUAUUGUCCAUAUCGAAAAGUACUGAUACAGAAUCCUAAUUAAUGCUUUAUAUGUGCUUGAGUUAUUUUUGUCUCUAGUCCAAAAGUUCAUGUAUUCAUUUCUCUGUAGAAUAGUAUAUCGCCAUGUGCAAUGCCAUUCAUAACGAAUUGGAAUUCCUUCUUAUGUCUUUUGUCCCGCAGCUAUAGAAAUCUCCUUUGUAUGUGUUUAUUGUAUUCUUUCGUUCUUUUGACAGGUAUUGUAAACAAAAAAGUUAUCUCUUGAUGAGAGGCCUUUUGAAAAUCUCUAAACUAUACCCCGUUGGAAAGUGAAUAUCAAAAUUGAGAGUGCAAUCGGGAUUUUUUCUUCUUAAUCAUCCCUAAUAUAAAGAUAUGGGUAAAUAUAUAUUAUUGAUGUCUAAUAAAAUGCAAUUGCCUCAUUCAAUUACUUAUUUUUAUUUGUUUAAUAUUAAAUUGUAUAUUACGUCAACUCCACCAUGAAAAAUCAAACCAGAAAAGUGAUUAAGUACAAAUGUGUACACACUCACAGUCUUAUUACGAAAGUUGGUGCAAACGAAUGUUAAGAAACUUUAUAAAAAGAUGUGAUAUUUUGCUGUUCAUUACGAGGGAAAUGGUGAAACCAUCGAUAAAUUGUUGAGUUUUAAUUGUUAAGCCUUUCUUUUUAGAGCGAGUGUCUCACCAAUUAGUCUUUAUCAUCUCAAUGACAACUAUCAGUCUUAUAAAUUGUGAUUUUUGAAGUUUGCACACGCAUCUUAUUGAUUGUAAAAUAUUAUGUAAUCUGAUUCUAUUGCUGCAGCUGUUUCAAUUUAGUAAAGAGAUAACACAUUCAGUUUAAAAGUCAUUCGAAGAGCAUUGAAACUCAACUGGAUUAUAAUGGACAAUGGGGGGAUACAAACAACAAUGUAAUUCAACCUGAUAUAUGCCUAAAGUUAUACUAUUUAGUUCACCUGCAUGGUUAACUUGUUAAUUUCUUUACAUAAACAUCGGUCAGAAAAAGCAAAUCUCACUCAUGACUACAAACAUUUUUGGAUUGGUUUUAUAGAAUGUUCAGUUCAGUAAAAACUUCUAUCGUAUUUAAAAAUAAAUCCAGAGCUAAACUACACGUUGCUCAUGUGCGAUAGCAAUUCAGUAUUUCAAUCAAAGAAAGGGGACUACGAAUUUACAUUUUUCAUGCCACUGGCUACCUAUGUUUUUCUGGUAGUUGUUUUAUGGGUAAUUAUUUUAAGUGCUGCACGCACGUAUUACAUGUUAGAAGUAACCAACAUCGACUCGUGUAGAUGUAAAAAGAUCACUAUGCCCAUUCUAUCAUGAAAUAAAGUAGGGUCAAGGUUGAUAGACACUGAAUGUCAGUGAUUCAUCUCGAAAUACUAUUUGCUGUCCAUCAAGUAAAGCUUGCCCACUUUACGCGGUCAUUUGGGACUGCUUAAUAAUUUCCUUUGUCAGUUGUCCUGAUCAGGGUUAUCUGUUACGUCUUCAAACCUGAUUGAACAUCGAUGUAAAGAGAGGAUGACUCCCCAAAGGGAUAUUGCUCUCUCCUUUCCCGAGAAGUAAAGCAUUUGUGACAAACUCAAGGAAUGGGUCAAUUUAGACGGGAAUAAAAACACCAAUAUGUGUUGCAUGCUAACGUGACCGCAUUUGUGAAAGUACACAAUCAAUAUACGUCAGGUAUGGUCACAUCUUGUUUAAUUCACCCGUGUACUUUACAUAUUUCAACCUUUUAAAGUUGGCAUACAGUGUACUGGGAAUAGUGCGAAGUUUCUAAAAUUCUUUGCGUGUUUAUUUUUUAGCCAUAUUGCAUCAUACUAUUGUAGACAUUUUAUAGUAUAUCUUAAUAGUAAAAUAUAAGAAGUUAAACAUUUCAUUAACUUGCUUUCUUGCUUUGUUGUAUUCUAUGAAAAACCUAAUUGCUAUUGCUAUUCCAGCAAUGAACAUUAAAGUUUAAAUCAUAAUUGACAAUUCAGUGGGUCAUACACCAUGCAAGGACUGUCUAAUUUUGGGUCGCAAUCUGUAUUACAUGAAGCCAAUAUUACGUCAUGAUUAUAAUUAAAAAAACGUCCAAAAUUUUGUAUGGAACAAAUGUAUUUUUAAAUUCCAAUUGACUAUAAAACACUACAUUUAUUGAACAACAACCAUAUUCUUUUCAGACGGAAAUUUAAAAAAUUUAAUUAACAAUAUUUGUGAUAUUUACUUUAUGCGUCAGCCAAAUGAGUUAAUUUUUGGUGCGUUUUUUGUUGAAAAUCCUACAAUCGUUUAAAGCAAUGCGGUGUAACAAAAACUAGCUUUCAAUGUACAUAUGCUGGUGUUUGCCACGCUUAGACAGACUUGUCUGGAAAGCAAAAAAUGCCAGAUUUAUCUAUAGAAAAUAUGUUAAUUUAUCUACAUACUGCAUUCCUCACCAAUUCAUUUGCAUUGAAAUGUAGUUUAGCAGUAUAUAUAUGGAUCGUUUCUACCUGAUUAGCUAAAUAUGUGUACUGGAAGAUUGUUCGUUUAUACAGUGGUUGACAUCAACAAGAAGAAGACCUUGGCAGUAUUUCGGGAGGAACCAUUUGGAAUUCUUCAUUUGCAGACGUAGAUAAGAUAUUCUGUUACAUUCAUGUUUCAUUUAUUUUGAUCUGAGGAAAAUGGAUUUAUAUAUAAUUAUUUAAACAAAAAAAAUCUUUGAGGACAUUUGGGGAAAAGUAUGUAGAGUGAAUGCGUGCCUAACAAGGACCUUGUACAUAAAAUGUGAUUUUUGCAAACGUUAAUCCUCCAAAUAGCAUUAAAAUAUUUCAAAUAAA